CCGCCGGCCUCCCCCCUCCCCCCUCCGGCCAGAUCUGGAGGGGAGGAAGGGAGGGAGGGGAGCCGCCGCUCCACGCCGUCCGCCCUGCACCGUCCGCCGCCGGCCGCCCCGCGCUGUCCGCCCCUUCUGCCAGUGGGGAGAGUGAGGGGAGAGGAGAGGUGAAGGGGAGGGGAGAGGAGAGGAGAGGAGAGUGAGGGGGAGAGGGAAGGACUUAGAAAAAAUUCGGCCCAUCUGCCAUGUAUAUAUAUCACGCUAAUUUUCGCAGGCGCACCUCAUGUAGUCCGCCUGUGAAAAUGAUUUUCGCAGGCGCCGCUUAAGUGAUCCGCCUGCGAAAAUAGAUUUUCGCAUGCGGACAUCAAAUUUCACCCUGACUUAUAUUUUUGUAGGCCGUUAUUUGGCUCUAAGCGUCAUGUCCGCCUGCGAAAAUAAGACCCCUAUGUUGGGAAAAAUGCUUUUUCUAGUAGUGUAGGCCAAACAUAACGCAUUUUGGUGCAUAUGUCUAGCUGCAUAAAUAUUCGCCCACUAGAAGUACUCCACAUGUCACAAUUGUUAAAACUACGGUGUUCUCCAUGACGGGCGUUUUGAUAGUGGGUGCCAUAUGGCAGGCCAUGCACUGUGCCAUGACAUGUCAUUACUUGCCGUAACGUGGUUAUUUUUUGGGGGACGCACUGGAGUCGCCAGUGGUCCUUGCUUCUUAAAGAAGGUGACAAGGAAGCUGUGAAGAUGGGGUGCCAAAAAUCGAAAGUUAUCGUUAUGGAAUUCUACUCAAAGUCUCGACGGAAUUGUAGAGGAAGAUUGAAUUGUUAGCUGAAAUUUUUUUGUUGUGAGACUUGUUCUGGAUGUUUUUGUCAUCUAUUUGCCUUCUAUGGUGGCGUUUGCUUUU